UACGUAGGGGGCAAGCGUUGUCCGGAUUUAUUGGGCGUAAAGGGCGCGUAGGCGGCCACCGCAAGUCGACUGUGAAAUCUCCGGGCUUAACCCGGAAAGGUCAGCCGAUACUGCGGGGCUAGAGUGCAGAAGGGGGCAACUGGAAUUCUCGGUGUAGCGGUGAAAUGCGUAGAUAUCGAGAGGAACACCUGCGGCGAAGGCGGGUUGCUGGGCUGACACGUGACGCUGAGGCGCGAAAGCUAGGGGAGCGAACGGG
rnacentral:rRNA from 1 species